rnacentral:tRNA from 1 species
ACUUAAAUAGCUUAUUUAGAGCAUAAUAUUGAAGAUAUUAAGGAAAUUUUAUAUUUUUAAGUA